rnacentral:rRNA from 1 species
UAGGGAAUCUUCCACAAUGGGCGAAGGCCUGAUGGAGCAACGCCGCGUGUGUGAUGAAGGGUUUCGGCUCGUAAAACUCUGUUGUUAAAGAAGAACAUAUCUGAGAGUAACUGUUCAGGUAUUGACGGUAUUUAACCAGAAAGCCACGGCUAACUACGUGCCCG